rnacentral:rRNA from 1 species
UACGUAGGUGGCAAGCGUUGUCCGGAUUUAUUGGGUUUAAAGGGUGCGUAGGCGGUUCUAUAAGUCAGUGGUGAAAUCCGGCAGCUCAACUGUCGAUGUGCCAUUGAUACUGCAGAACUUGAGUACAGACGAGGUAGGCGGAAUUGACGGUGUAGCGGUGAAAUGCUUAGAUAUCGUCAAGAACACCGAUAGCGAAAGGCAGCUUACUAGACUGUAACUGACGCUGAUGCACGAAAGUGUGGGGAUCAAACAGG